rnacentral:tRNA from 1 species
CGGGGCGUGGCUCAGCUUGGUAGAGCGCUGCGUUCGGGACGCAGAGGUCGUAGGUUCAAAUCCUAUCGCCCCGACCA